rnacentral:lncRNA from 1 species
AUGGAGCCGUGUCCCUGCGGACUGUGCCUGAGCUCGAACUCCCCUCCGGGACCCCUCCCCAGCUUUGUCCCCUCUCUCUGCCACACCCCGAGCACUCCAGGCACGAUUUUUAACCCUUUCGCUGUCUGCUGCUCCCGUGGGUGCAGCACCCACUCCCCAUCACUCGGGCGGGGCGGUGGAGGCAGAGGGAGAGGAGGAAGAGGAGGGAGAGGAGGUGCUGAGCGUGCAGCAGGUGCCGAGGCGACGCUCGCCACAACAAAUCGCUGUGAUUCAGCCCCGGAGCAUCUGGCAGCGAGCGCUGAGGAGCCGGGGGAGCCGGUGUCACGCAGCCGUUCUGCCGAGGCGUCCCGGAGCCCCCGGGAACCGGCGAUCCGUGCUCGGGGAGGAUGGAGAUCCUCAGCUCCCAUUUCCCGAGCGCUGCUGGCAUCGGUGUCCCUUGGUGUGACAGCAGGAGUCAAACCUGUCACCUCCUCUGGGAGCGCCCUGGAACUGCGCUGUCCCAGCCCUCCGGACCCUCCCACAUAUCUAGAGCAUCCCUCAGCCAGGUGGGAAGGGCUGUGCCAGGUGAGGGGGUACACCUGGGUGUGUUUUCAGAGAGGAACAGCACCCCUGGGCAGAAGCCACCAGGUCUUGGUGGCCUCGUGCUGCCAUUGGUGUGAGAGAUGGCAGCCCUGGGUACCUGUGACACCAUCCCAGCCCUGGGUACAGUGGCACCAUCCCAGCCCUGGGUACCUGUGACACCAUCCCAGCCCUGGGUACCUGUGACACCAUCCCAGCCCUGGGCACAGUGACACCAUCCCAGCCCUGGGUACAGUGACACCAUCCCAGCCCUGGGCACAGUGUCACCAUCCCAGCCCUGGGUACCUGUGACACCAUCCCAGCCCUGGGUACCUGUGUCACCAUCCCAGCCCUGGGCACUGUGACUCAGGGGAAGGAUGAACCACCCUGCAGUUAUUUUUCCACCCAGACCCAGCCAGAAUGUGGAGCUAAAACACAAAUCCCUGGGCAAUGCUCGGUGUCAUCUUCUCCCUCUUUUCCCCUGGAUCUUCAAAAAUCAUAUUUGUUUGACCAUUCUUUCCUCACAGCUCCAGCGAAUUUCCUCUCUGAUUAUUUGAAAUUAAUUAUCUUGUGUCUUGCCACCCAUCUCCUGAUUUUAGGAUCAGGCCAGAAGCUCCUGUUCUCCCUUUGCAGUCCCUCCAGUGAGUGCUGUCUCUGGAAUAAAUCCUUCCAAAUCAUCAAACAGGCUCCAUAACAUAUUUUCCUCUAAACAACCACGUUUGCUGCCACCCCAGGCAUGGAUGGCAUUUCCCUGGAGGCUCUGCAAAGGCGCAGAAAUCUCCAGGGAAGCUGAGGGAGGCUUCCAACAUCCCUGUGAGAUCCCAGAAUCGCUUCCUUUAACCUCUGAUGCACCGAGGUGGGUUCCUGCUGCCUCUCCUACGUGCUCAGCCCUGUUUGUUUUCCUACCUCGGCUGAUUUUGCUCUUCAGAAAGCCCUUCAUUAGCCCCACGCUGGGUUGGA